rnacentral:rRNA from 1 species
AACGAACGCUGGCGGCAUGCCUAACACAUGCAAGUCGAACGAGACCUUCGGGUCUAGUGGCGCACGGGUGCGUAACGCGUGGGAACCUGCCCUUAGGUUCGGAAUAACUCCCCGAAAGGGGUGCUAAUACCGGAUAAUGUCUUCGGACCAAAGAUUUAUCGCCUUUGGAUGGGCCCGCGUUGGAUUAGCUAGUUGGUAGGGUAAAAGCCUACCAAGGCGACGAUCCAUAGCUGGUCUGAGAGGAUGAUCAGCCACACUGGGACUGAGACACGGCCCAGACUCCUACGGGAGGGAGCAGUGGGGAAUAUGGGACCAUGGGCGAAAGCCUGCACCCCCCAUGCCGGGUGGGUGAUGAAGGCCUUAGGGUUGUAAAGCUCUUUUACCCGGGAUGAAAAUGACAGUACCGGGAAAAAAAGCCCCGGCUAACUCCUU